rnacentral:rRNA from 1 species
GGGAUAUUGGGCAAUGGGGGAAACCCUGACCCAGCGACGCCGCGUGAGGGAAGACGGUCUUCGGAUUGUAAACCUCUGUCUUUGGGGACGAAAAAGGACGGUACCCAAGGAGGAAGCUCCGGCUAACUACGUGCCAGCAGCCGCGGUAAUACGUAGGGAGCAAGCGUUAUCCGGAUUUACUGGGUGUACAGGGCGUGUAGGCGGGCAGGCAAGCCAGAAGUGAAAUCUGGGGGCUUAACCCCCAAACUGCUUUUGGAACUGCGUGUCUUGAGUGAUGGAGAGGCAGGCGGAAUUCCCAGUGUAGCGGUGAAAUGCGUAGAUAUUGGGAGGAACACCAGUGGCGAAGGCGGCCUGCUGGACAUUAACUGACGCUGAGGCGCGAAAGCGUGGGGAGCAAACAGG